UCUUACGGCCACACCGGCCUGAGUACGCCUGAUCUCGUCCGAUCUCGGAAGCUAAGCAGGGUCGGGCCUGGUUAGUACUUGGAUGGGAGACCGCCUGGGAAUACCAGGUGCUGUAAGCU
ensembl:rRNA 5S_rRNA 5S ribosomal RNA